rnacentral:rRNA from 1 species
UACGGGGGGGGCUAGCGUUGUUCGGAAUUACUGGGCGUAAAGGGCUCGUAGGCGGCCAACUAAGUCAGACGUGAAAUCCCUCGGCUUAACCGAGGAACUGCGUCUGAGACUGGGUGGCUCGAAUCCGGGAGAGGGAUGCGGAAUUCCAGGUGUAGCGGUGAAAUGCGUAGAUAUCUGGAGGAACACCGGUGGCGAAGGCGGCAUCCUGGACCGGCAUUGACGCUGAGGAGCGAAAGCCAGGGGAGCAAACGGG